rnacentral:rRNA from 1 species
AGUGAACGCUGGCGGUAGGCCUAACACAUGCAAGUCGAACGAGUGGCGGACGGGUGAGGAAUACAUCGGAAUCUACUCUGUAGUGGGGGAUAACGCAGGGAAACUUACGCUAAUACCGCAUACCCUGGACUGAGCCGAUGUCGGAUUAGCGAGUUGGCGGGGUAAAGGCCCACCAAGGCCACGAUCCGUAGCUGGUCUGAGAGGAUGACCAGCCACACUGGAACUGAGACACGGUCCAGACUCCUACGGGAGGCAGCAGUGGGGAAUAUUGGACAAUGGGCGAAAGCCUGAUCGAGCCAUGCCGCGUGGGUGAAGAAGGUCUUCGGAUUGUAAAGCACGUUAAGUUGGGAGGCGUUACUAACAGAAUAAGCACCGGCUAACUUCGUGCCAGCAGCCGCGGUAAUUC